rnacentral:rRNA from 1 species
AUUGAACGCUGGCGGCAUGCCUUACACAUGCAAGUCGAACGGUAACGCGGGGCAACCUGGCGACGAGUGGCGAACGGGUGAGUAAUGCAUCGGAACGUGCCCAGUAGUGGGGGAUAGCCCGGCGAAAGCCGGAUUAAUACCGCAUACGACCUACGGGUGAAAGCGGGGGAUCGCAAGACCUCGCGCUAUUGGAGCGGCCGAUGUCAGAUUAGGUUGUUGGUGGGGUAAAGGCCUACCAAGCCUACGAUCUGUAGCUGGUCUGAGAGGACGACCAGCCACACUGGGACUGAGACACGGCCCAGACUCCUACGGGAGGCAGCAGUGGGGAAUUUUGGACAAUGGGGGCAACCCUGAUCCAGCCAUGCCGCGUGCGGGAAGAAGGCCUUCGGGUUGUAAACCGCUUUUGUCAGGGAAGAAAUUGUCCGGGCUAAUACCUCGGGCCGAUGACGGUACCUGAAGAAUAAGCACCGGCUAACUACGUGCCAGCCGCCGCCGUAAAAC